GUUCCUAUAGUUAAGAUUAACGGUGGCUUUUCAUGCCAUAGACCUUGGAGAAAGGCCAAGUAGGAAUU
rnacentral:tRNA from 1 species